AUGGACCCCAACUACUCCUGCACCACUGGUGAUUCCCGCAUCUGCGCUGGCUCCUGCAAGUGCAAAGAGUGCAAACGCACCUCCUGCAAGAGCUGCUGUUCUGCUGCCCCAUGGGCUAUGCCAAGUGUGCCCAGAACUGUGUCUAUAAAGAGGUAUCCGACAAGUGCAGCUGCUGUGCCUGA